AGGGUUUGAUUAUGGCUCAGGACGAACGCUGGCGGCGUGCUUAACACAUGCAAGUCGAACGAGAAUCUACUGAAGGAGGAUUCGUCCAACGGAAGUAGAGGAAAGUGGCGGACGGGUGAGUAACGCGUGAGGAACCUGCCUUGAAGAGGGGGACAACAGUUGGAAACGACUGCUAAUACCGCAUGAAGCAUAGGGGUCGCAUGAUUCUUAUGCCAAAGAUUUAUCGCUUCAAGAUGGCCUCGCGUCUGAUUAGCUAGUUGGCGGGGUAACGGCCCACCAAGGCGACGAUCAGUAGCCGGACUGAGAGGUUGAACGGCCACAUUGGGACUGAGAUACGGCCCAG
rnacentral:rRNA from 1 species